UACGAAGGGGACUAGCGUUGUUCGGAUUUACUGGGCGUAAAGCGCGCGUAGGCGGACACUUAAGUCAGGGGUGAAAUGCCAGGGCUCAACCUUGGAAUUGCCUUUGAUACUGGAUGUCUGGAGUUCGGGAGAGGUGAGUGGAAUUCCGAGUGUAGAGGUGAAAUGCGUAGAUAUUGGGAGGAACACCAGUGGCGAAGGCGGCUCACUGGACCGGUUCUGACGCUGAGGCGCGAAAGCGUGGGGAGCAAACGGG
rnacentral:rRNA from 1 species